CCUACGGGAGGCAGCAGUGAGGAAUAUUGGUCAAUGGACGAGAGUCUGAACCAGCCAAGUAGCGUGAAGGAUGACUGCCCUAUGGGUUGUAAACUUCUUUUAUAUGGGAAUAAAACGUUCCACGUGUGGGAUUUUGUAUGUACUUUAUGAAUAAGGAUCGGCUAACUCCGUGCCAGCAGCCGCGGUAAUACGGAGGAUCCGAGCGUUAUCCGGAUUUAUUGGGUUUAAAGGGAGCGUAGAUGGAUUGUUAAGUCAGUUGUGAAAGUUUGCGGCUCAACCGUAAAAUUGCAGUUGAGACUGGCAGUCUUGAGUACAGUAGAGGUGGGCGGAAUUCGUGGUGUAGCGGUGAAAUGCUUAGAUAUCACGAAGAACUCCGAUUGCGAAGGCAGUUCACUAGACUGCAACUGACACUGAGGCUCGAAAGUGUGGGUAUCAAACAGGAUUAGAUACCCUGGUAGUC
rnacentral:rRNA from 1 species